UGAAUCAUCGAAUCUUUGAACGCACAUUGCGCCCGCCAGUAUUCUGGCGGGCAUGCCUGUUCGAGCGUCAUUACAACCCUCAGGCCUCCGGGCCUGGCGUUGGGGAUCGGCGGAGCCCCCCGUGGGCACACGCCGUCCCCCAAAUACAGUGGCGGUCCCGCCGCAGCUUCCAUUGCGUAGUAGCUAACACCUCGCAACUGGAGAGCGGCGCGGCCACGCCGUAAAACACCCAACUUCUGAAUGUUGACCUCGAAUCAGGUAGGAAUACCCGCUGAACUUAAGCAUAUCAAUAAGCGGAGGA
rnacentral:rRNA from 1 species